rfam:Triticum urartu cultivar G1812 contig1091646, whole genome shotgun sequence.
UAUAUACUCCCUCCGUUCCGAAUUAUUUGUCUUAGAUUUGUCUAGAUACGGAGGUAUCUAGCACUAAAAUGAGUAGAUACAUCCGUAUCUAGACAAAUUCAAGACAAGUAAUUCGAAACGGAGGGAGUAGAAA